GUCCACGCCCUAAACGAUGACAACUAGAUGUCGGGAGGGUUUGCCUUCCGGUGUCGUAGCUAACGCGUUAAGUUGUCCGCCUGGGAAGUACGGCCGCAAGGUUGAAACUCAAAGGAAUUUACGGGGACCCGCACAAGCGGUGGAGCAUGUGGUUUAAUUCGAUGCAACGCGAAGAACCUUACCUGGUCUUUACAUCCUAGGAAUCCUGCAGAGAUGCGGGAGUGCCUUCGGGAACCUGGAGACAGGUGCUGCAUGGCUGUCGU
rnacentral:rRNA from 1 species